AUUGAACGCUGGCGGCAGGCCUAACACAUGCAAGUCGAGCGGAUGAAGGGAGCUUGCUCCUGGAUUCAGCGGCGGACGGGUGAGUAAUGCCUAGGAAUCUGCCUGGUAGUGGGGGAUAACGUCCGAAAACGGGCGCUAAUACCGCAUACGUCCUGAGGGAGAAAGUGGGGGAUCUUCGGACCUCACGCUAUCAGAUGAGCCUAGGUCGGAUUAGCUAGUUGGUGGGGUAAAGGCCUACCAAGGCGACGAUCCGUAACUGGUCUGAGAGGAUGAUCAGUCACACUGGAACUGAGACACGGUCCAGACUCCUACGGGAGGCAGCAGUGGGGAAUAUUGGACAAUGGGCGAAAGCCUGAUCCAGCCAUGCCGCGUGUGUGAAGAAGGUCUUCGGAUUGUAAAGCACUUUAAGUUGGGAGGAAGGGCAGUAAGUUAAUACCUUGCUGUUUUGACGUUACCAACAGAAUAAGCACCGGCUAACUUCGUG
rnacentral:rRNA from 1 species